rnacentral:rRNA from 1 species
UCGGGAAUUUUGGGCAAUGGGCGAAAGCCUGACCCAGCAACGCCGCGUGAAGGAUGAAGUAUUUCGGUAUGUAAACUUCGAAAGAAUAGGAAGAAUAAAUGACGGUACUAUUUGUAAGGUCCGGCUAACUACGUGCCAGCAGCCGCGGUAAUACGUAGGGACCAAGCGUUGUUCGGAUUUACUGGGCGUAAAGGGCGCGUAGGCGGUGUGUCAAGUCAGUUGUGAAAUCUCCGAGCUUAACUCGGAACGGUCAACUGAUACUGUCACACUAGAGUACAGAAGGGGCAAUCGGAAUUCUUGGUGUAGCGGUGAAAUGCGUAGAUAUCAAGAGGAACACCUGAGGCGAAGGCGGGUUGCUGGGCUGAUACUGACGCUGAGGCGCGAAAGCUAGGGUAGCAAACGGGAUUAGAUACCCGGGUAGUCCCUGAGCGGGCUGGCAAGGCGCAU